ensembl:lncRNA
CUUUUCCAUCCUAGAUUUGUUGCUACUUGUUGACUGACCUGAUGAAUUUUUUAAGCUCCUGGGGAGGCGCAUCAGUUACCACUGAAUCUAUCGCAGAUCUUCAUCUCUGUCUGAUGACAACUUAAUUGCAUUUGUCCUCUUAGAGAAAGAAAAUUAACAAAGUGGUUUUUGUAGCUAAGUGUUCUAUGUCUAUUUAGUUUACUUUGUAUGGUUAUUUUACCUCCAUAUACACCAUUCUGGGCAAAGCUAACAAAGGAAACUCAACACUCUGUCUGUGAUUAAUAAAACAUCGUCUCGAGGCCCAAAGGGCCAGCCACCCGAAUGCUUUCAGCUGUAUAAGUGGUGAAAGGCGACAUAAUCUCCUCGGGACAAGAUUUGGGCUGAGAUUGAAAGACGCUGUGGGAGAGGUCCGGUAUAAGUGGUGGAAAGAGGACUCUUCAUGCUGCACUCGAAUGGACGGAUAGUCUGGAAGCAUGGAGAGCGGACGGAGCUUGGCGCAGGUCAUCUCUGAAAUGCAGAAUGAGAUCAGAAAGCUGGAGAGCGAAAACAAAGCACUCCGUGGGCAGCUUGACCGGCCGGCUUCAGCCUUGGACUCGGUGAAGCAGAAAGACGGGUCACAGGACACCUCAACCCAUGCCAGCCUGAGACGAAACGUGUCCGCACCACAACUUGAAGCACAGUACAAAGAAAACAUUAUUAUGACCGUGCGAAGAUACUCCGUAUCGUCAAACUCUGAGAAUGAGAUUUUGCACAAGCCGAGACGAUAUGAGGAGACUGUGAACAACAACAAAUGGGCAAAACUACAUGAUGGUUCACACAGCCGUCCUUCUAGUGCCUAUUCUAAACCAGACAUGGAGAAAUUAACCAACAGACAUUCCCUUCAGGAGUAUGUCAACAAAAACAGAGCCAAAGUCAAGACGGUAACUUUCCUGUUGCCAGUGGAUGACAUUUACACCAAUCGACCUGUACUAGCUGAACACCUGUCAGAAAGAAGCACCUGUGAACUCCAAGCGAUAGCGGAAACAGACUCGUGAAGCCCAAACUAAUGGCGGGAAAAACAGAAACACCCAAAAAACUGAUGCUUGUGAAGCUGACAAAGAAGAAGUGCAGUAAUGCGGUCAAAAUCUAUCCCAAUGCAUCCUGCGGUGAAUUAAUACCCACACCUGACCUCAACGCUUUGACUCCUGUUACAGAUUUGGUUUCUCAAAUUCAUCCAGCUAAAGAAACUCAAGUCAUCCCAUGGUCUCGUCCGAUGUCAGUCCCACUCCAGCGUUCGGAUCGGGUGUCUGCUUGUGUGAAAAAAAGCUCACUAAACUGAGUUUGGUGCAACUGUUAGUUUAUAACGCUUUGAAUGAUGGACAUUAUUUACAUCAGUUUGUUCUCCACAAAAUCUCCCACUAUUUUAUUCAGCAUUAGCUUGCUCAACUUUAACAUAACAGUUUACUUAAAAACAUGUUUAAAGUGAUAGUUCCCCUAAAAAUUAAAAUGAAAAUUCUCUUAUAAUUUCUCAUUCUCAAUUUGUUCCAAAGCAAAGGAAGAUAUUUUGAAGAAUGUUGGUAACCAGACAGCUGACGGUAACACUGAUUUCCACAGUAUUUUUUUCCCCAAACUAUAGAAUUGGCAGUGGCUACCAUCAACUGUUUGAUUAUCAAUAUCUUUCUAAAAUAUCUUCUGUGUUCACCAUAAGAAAGAAUCUCGUUGAGUAAAUGAUGAUAGAAUUUUCCUUUUUGGGUGACAUAUUCCUUUAAAUAAAACUGUUAUUUAAUCAUGUUAAAAUGUAUUA